AACCAUAGAAACCUGCGGAGUACCUGCGGAAGGAUCAUUACCGAGUUUACAACUCCCAAACCCCUGUGAGCAUACCUAUACGUUGCCUCGGCGGAUCAGCCCGCGCCCCGUAAAAAGGGACGGCCCGCCCGAGGACCCCUAAACUCUGUUUUUAGUGGAACUUCUGAGUAAAACAAACAAAUAAAUCAAAACUUUCAACAACGGAUCU
rnacentral:misc_RNA from 1 species